rnacentral:rRNA from 1 species
UUUUGACCUCGGAUCAGGUAGGGAUACCCGCUGAACUUAAGCAUAUCAAUAAGCGGAGGAAAAGAAACCAACAGGGAUUGCCCUAGUAACGGCGAGUGAAGCGGCAACAGCUCAAAUUUGAAAUCUGGCUCUUUUAGAGUCCGAGUUGUAAUUUGCAGAGGGCGCUUUGGCUUUGGCAGCGGUCCAAGUUCCUUGGAACAGGACGUCACAGAGGGUGAGAAUCCCGUACGUGGUCGCUGGCUAUUGCCGUGUAAAGCCCCUUCGACGAGUCGAGUUGUUUGGGAAUGCAGCUCUAAAUGGGAGGUACAUUUCUUCUAAAGCUAAAUAUUGGCCAGAGACCGAUAGCGCACAAGUAGAGUGAUCGAAAGAUGAAAAGCACUUUGGAAAGAGAGUCAAACAGCACGUGAAAUUGUUGAAAGGGAAGCGCUUGCAGCCAGACUUGCUUGCAGUUGCUCAUCCGGGCUUUUGCCCGGUGCACUCUUCUGCAGGCAGGCCAGCAUCAGUUUGGGCGGUAGGAUAAAGGUCUCUGUCACGUACCUCCUUUCGGGGAGGCCUUAUAGGGGAGACGACAUACUACCAGCCUGGACUGAGGUCCGCGCAUCUGCUAGGAUGCUGGCGUAAUGGCUGUAA